rnacentral:lncRNA from 1 species
AGAGAGAAAAUUGUGCUUUUCUAGUUUGUCAUGGUAUUCUUAGCAACUAGGACAGUGUCUGGUAUAUAGUAGAUAAUUAAUACUUGUGUGAAUGAAUGAAAGGGUCAAGUGAAAAAUUCAGCAGAAAAUGCAUCAUAUCUCCAGCACUAAAUACUGGAAAUCAUGCUAAAAAUGUCAUCCCUUCACAUUUGAGCUUCUGUUUCUGUUAAAAUGAAGCUGCCAUGUGAUACCCCCAAAGGGACUCAACUUCAUCUACACAUGUAGUACUUAAGCUGAGAAUGAAUAACCUGAACCUAAUCAGGCAGACAUAAAAUGAGGAAGUUUCUAUUAAAAUAGAAAUGAAGAGGUACUGUAUUCUUCAAAAAUGUUAAUGUCNNNNNNNNNNNNNNNNNNNNNNUGUUAUACAGAAUGAAGUAAGUCAGAAAGAGAAAAAAAUACUAUAUAAUAUCGCUUACAUGUAGAAUCUAGAAAAAUGGUACAAACGAAUAAAUUUACAAAGCAGAAAUAGAGACACGAUGUAGAGAACAAACUUGUAGAUAUCAAGCGGGAAGUGGGGUGGAAUGAAUCGGGAGAUUGGGAUUGACAUAUAUACACUACUAUGUGUAAAAUAGAUUACUAAUGAGAACCUACUAUAUAGCCAUAUAGCACAGGGAACUCUAUUCAAUGCUCUGUGCCAAAUGGGAAGGAAAUUUUUAAAAAGUGGGGGGACAUACAUGUAUACAUAGAACUGAUUCACUUCUCUGUACAGCAGACAGUAACACAACAUUGUAAAGCAACUGCACUCCAGUAAAAAUUAUUUUUUUAAAAAGUUAAUGUCUCCAAAAACAAAGACUGGAAAUGUUCCAAAUUAAAGAAGGUUCCAAAUUAAAGAGACAUAGUAAUUCAAUGCAGUGCCUGCUACUAGACUGAAUCCUGCAUUGAAGAGAAGUAAAAUGCUUUAAAGGACAGUAUAUAUGGAGAAUAGACUAGAUUAAAAUAUUAUAUCAAUAUAAACUUUUCAAGUUGAUAACUGUAAUAUAGUUAUGUAAGAAAAUGUCCCUCCUCCUAGGAAACACACAUUAAAGUACUUUGGGAUAAAGGAUCAUGAUGUAUAUAUAAUUUAUCCUCAAGCAGUAUGGAAAAGUCCAUGUAAAUAAAUAUAAUUAUAGCUAUAUAGAUACAGAUGGCACAAAUGAUAAAGCAAGUGGAAUAAAUGUUAACAACAAAAAAAUUUAGAUAAAAGGAGGUUAUGUGGAUUCUUGUACUACAUUCAUUUCUGCAACUUUAUAAGUUUGAUACUACUUUCAAAUAAAAAGUUAGCUAAAAACUAGAACACCUGGAAAUAGCUUCACAUAAUUAUGGUAUUUGAGAACAGAAGGGUUUUUAGAGAUCAAAUCAUCUGAAUUUUCCUUUUACAGAAAAGAAG